AUACUUACCUGGCAGAGGAGAUACCAUGAUCAUGAAAGUGGUUUUCCCAGGUCGAGGCUUAUCCAUUGCACUCCAGAUGUGCUGACCCCUGGGAUUUCGCAAAUGUGGGAAACUGGACUGCAUAAUUUGUGGUAGUGGGGGACUGCGUUCAUGCUUUUCCCUG
rnacentral:snRNA from 1 species